AUUGAACGCUGGCGGCAGGCUUAACACAUGCAAGUCGAGCGGCAGCGCAGCAGUAGCAAUACUGUGGGCGGCGAGUGGCGGACGGGUGAGGAAUACAUGGGAAUCUGCCCUGUCGUGGGGGAUAACGUAGGGAAACUUACGCUAAUACCGCAUACGACCGGAAGGUGAAAGCGGCGGACCGCAAGGCGUCGCGCGACUGGAUGAGCCCAUGUCGGAUUAGCUAGUUGGCGGGGUAAAGGCCCACCAAGGCGACGAUCCGUAGCUGGUCUGAGAGGAUGAUCAGCCACACUGGAACUGAGACACGGUCCAGACUCCUACGGGAGGCAGCAGUGGGGAAUAUUGGACAAUGGGCGCAAGCCUGAUCCAGCCAUGCCGCGUGAGUGAAGGAGGCCUUCGGGUUGUAAAGCUCUUUUGUCCGGAAAGAAAAGCUUCGGGUUAAUACCCCGGGGUCCUGACGGUACCGGAAGAAUAAGCACCGGCUAACUUCGUGCCAGCCGCCGCCGUAAGAC
rnacentral:rRNA from 1 species